rnacentral:rRNA from 1 species
CGAGUCUGCCUUGAAGAUCGGAGUGCUUGCACUCUGUGAAACAAGAUACAGGCUAGCGGCGGACGGGUGAGUAACACGUGGGUAACCUGCCCAAGAGAUCGGGAUAACACCUGGAAACAGAUGCUAAUACCGGAUAACAACAGAUGAUGCCUAUCAACUGUUUAAAAGAUGGUUCUGCUAUCACUCUUGGAUGGACCUGCGGUGCAUUAGCUAGUUGGUAGGGUAACGGCCCACCAAGGCGAUGAUGCAUAGCCGAGUUGAGAGACUGAUCGGCCACAUUGGGACUGAGACACGGCCCAAACUCCUACGGGAGGCAGCAGUAGGGAAUCUUCCACAAUGGACGCAAGUCUGAUGGAGCAACGCCGCGUGAGUGAAGAAGGGUUUCAGCUCGUAAAGCUCUGUUGUUGGUGAA